rnacentral:rRNA from 1 species
UGGGGGAUAUUGCACAAUGGGCGAAAGCCUGAUGCAGCGACGCCGCGUGGGGGAUGAAGGCUUUCGGGUUGUAAACCUCUUUCGCUAUCGAACAAGGCCCGCUUAGGGUGGGUUGAGGGUAGGUGGAGAAGAAGCGCCGGCUAACUACGUGCCAGCAGCCGCGGUAAUACGUAGGGCGCGAGCGUUGUCCGGAAUUAUUGGGCGUAAAGGGCUUGUAGGCGGCUUGUUGCGCCUGCUGUGAAAACGGGGGGCUUAACUUCGCGCGUGCAGUGGGUAGGGGCAGGCUUGAGUGUGGUAGGGGUGACUGGAAUUCCAGGUGUAGCGGUGGAAUGCGCAGAUAUCUGGAGGAACACCGAUGGCGAAGGCAGGUCACUGGGCCAUUACUGACGCUGAGGAGCGAAAGCAUGGGUAGCGAACAGG